AAUUUUGCAUACAAAUAUUUAAUUUAAUUGAAUUUAUAUCAUAUGCACUCGGAUUAGACUUCUAAGUGCAUUUGGUUCAAUAAACUAGAUUGAAAUAAAUAAAAAAAUUUUGAAGCUUUUGGUAAUUAACUGAAAAAAAUAAUAACAAGUGAAAAUUAAAUAAAAUAAAACAAAAGGGGGGGGGGUGGGGCCCUUUAUCCUUCUUCGUUGCAGAU
rnacentral:misc_RNA from 1 species